CCUACGGGAGGCAGCAGUGGGGAAUUUUCCGCAAUGGGCGAAAGCCUGACGGAGCAACGCCGCGUGAGGGAUGAAGGCCUCUGGGCUGUAAACCUCUUUUAUCAAGGAAGAAGAUCUGACGGUACUUGAUGAAUAAGCCACGGCUAAUUCCGUGCCAGCAGCCGCGGUAAUACGGGAGUGGCAAGCGUUAUCCGGAAUUAUUGGGCGUAAAGCGUCCGCAGGCGGUCUUGUAAGUCUGUCGUUAAAGCGUGGAGCUUAACUCCAUUUAGGCGGUGGAAAC
rnacentral:rRNA from 1 species